UACGUAGGGGGCAAGCGUUGUCCGGAUUCAUUGGGCGUAAAGAGCGUGUAGGCGGCCAGGUAGGUCGGUUGUGAAAACUGGAGGCUCAACCUUCAGACGUCGACCGAAACCAUCUGGCUAGAGUCCGGGAGAGGAGAGUGGAAUUCCUGGUGUAGCGGUGAAAUGCGCAGAUAUCAGGAAGAACACCCGUGGCGAAAGCGGCUCUCUGGAACGGCACUGACGCUGAGACGCGAAAGCGUGGGGAGCGAACAGG
rnacentral:rRNA from 1 species